GUCUGGGCGGUGACGUUUGGUCUGAGCUGACCUUUCCUCACAAUCGUGAAUUUGGGCUGUGAGGAUCAGGCCUUGCCAGAACCCGAGAUGAGAGAUUUCUGGGUCAGUAAGGGUGAGAGCCAGGCUCCAGACUAUAGUGAAUUUUCCGAGGAGAUUUGUUUGUCUACAUACCUUAUGACGUCGUGUAUGGCAAGGCACUUUAAGGUCAGAACUACAGAUGUCAAACUAGUUCUCUUAAUUUCAGGGAUCACAUGGUCAGGCAUAUACUGGUUCCAAAAAUCUUUACUAUAGAUCCGAAAGCAUUUUCCUGAAGAAGUCCUGCCAGCUCGGCCACUUCGCUGUAAUGCCUCGCUCUUACAAAAGGAAAAAAACCCAAAAAUUCCCCAAAAUGUUCUGUGGGUUUCUCAGGUAAUUUACUUUGUCUCCCCAAAACAGCUAGAAAUUACCUAAUCAGUUGUUCUUUGAAUAAAAAGAUUUGACAUAGAGACUUACUUUGAAAUUGGAACCACCUCCAGGAUGUCCAACCCUAAUCUGGGGUUGUGGUUUAACUGCUUCACAAAGCCACCAUCUACCACAUAUCUAAGAAGAAUCAAAGCAAGUUAAGUUUCUGGAAAAUAAAAGAAGACUUGUUAAUUUUUAA